rnacentral:misc_RNA from 1 species
GAGUGGUUUUGGACCCGUGUCUGCCGGUAGAUCCCCCGUCUUUGUGCGGCCGACUACUGGCGCCGUGUCCCGUCGGUUCUGUGGCUUAUGUUACUGUUGCCUUUCAAKYGCUUGCGUGUUGGUACCCGAACUCCGGGAAGUGGUGCUUUGUAUUCGGUUGCCUCGCGGUGGCCGCCUUCGGGUGUGCUGCUGCGGCCAAAUGGCGCUUGCGGCGUUUCCUCGUUGUGCCGGCAUGUUUACUCUGMCGGUGCAAUCAAGGCAACCUCGCUCCCGCUGUUGGUCUCGGAUGUUGCCUACGUUAAAGUCUCUUGGCCCAUUUAAGUUGCCUUGACCCGACCCUAAGAAGCUCUCCGAAUUGAGAACAACCGGAACAGGUGUUGCCUCUACCUCUCCACAGUUAGUGGUAGGAUUACGCAACAUUCUGCGCCGAUCCUCAAACAAGUAGGAACGAGCUUGGCCCGCUCAAUUGCGACAACCGGCCCGGCCGUUGGCUCUGCCUUGACACGCAAGUGGAUGGGUGGACAACUUCCGACGCUGGACGUCAAAGAGGACGUGCUACCUGGUUGAUCCUGCCA